CGGACCGUAUGCAGGGGGACGAACAGUCAGAAAUAGACUGCUAAUACCGCAUAAGCACACAAUGCUGCAUGGCAUGGUGUGAAAAGAUUUAUCGGCAUACGAUGGCCCCGCGUCUGAUUAGCCAGUUGGCAGGGUAAUGGCCUACCAAAGCAACGAUCAGUAGCCGGCUUGAGAGAGUGACCGGCCACAUUGGGACUGAGACACGGCCCAGACUCCUACGGGAGGCAGCAG
rnacentral:rRNA from 1 species